GUGCUUGCUUUAGCAACACAUAUACUAAAAUUGGAAUUAAAGAGGUUAGCAUGGCCUCUGCGCAAGGAUGACAAAUUUGUGAAAUGUUCUAUAUACUU
ensembl:snRNA U6 U6 spliceosomal RNA